rnacentral:rRNA from 1 species
AGAGUUUGAUCCUGGCUCAGGACGAACGCUGGCGGCGUGCCUAACACAUGCAAGUCGAACGGGGCUAGAGGAGCUUGCUCCUCGACGCCUAGUGGCGGACGGGUGAGUAACGCGUGAGUAACCUGCCUUUCAGAGGGGAAUAACGUUCUGAAAAGAACGCUAAUACCGCAUAACGUGCAGCUUUCGCAUGGAAGCAGUACCAAAGGAGCAAUCCGCUGAGAGAUGGACUCGCGUCCGAUUAGCUAGUUGGUGGGGUAAAGGCCUACCAAGGCGACGAUCGGUAGCCGGACUGAGAGGUUGAACGGCCACAUUGGGACUGAGACACGGCCCAGACUCCUACGGGAGGCAGCAGUGGGGGAUAUUGCACAAUGGGGGAAACCCUGAUGCAGCAACGCCGCGUGUGGGAAGAAGGUUUUCGGAUUGUAAACCACUGUUCUUGGUGAAGAUAAUGACGGUAACCAAGGAGAAAGCUCCGGCUAACUACGUG